CCUACGUGCGGCAGCAGUAGGGAAUUUUCGGCAAUGGGGGGAACCCUGACCGAGCAACGCCGCGUGAACGAAGAAGUUAUUCGUAAUGUAAAGUUCUUUUAACAGGGAAGAAAGAGAAAUUUGACGGUACCUGCAAAGGAAGCACCGGCUAACUCCGUGCCAGCAGCCGCGGUAAUACGGAGGGUGCGAGCGUUAAUCGGAAUUACUGGGCGUAAAGCGCUCGUAGGCGGUAUGUCAAGUCAAGGGUGAAAUCCCCGCGCUCAACGUGGGAACUGCCUUUGAAACUGGCAAACUGGAGUGUGUGAGAGGAUAGUGGAAUUCCAGGUGUAGGAGUGAAAGCCGUAGAUAUCUGGAGGAACAUCAGUGGCGAAGGCGACUAUCUGGCACAUAACUGACGCUGAGGAGCGAAAGCGUGGGUAGCAAACAGGAUUAGAUACCCUUGUAGUC
rnacentral:rRNA from 1 species